rnacentral:rRNA from 1 species
GCCGUCGGGUUGUUGCUGGUUCUUACAAGUGCACGCCCGGCGCGUUCUCCCAUCCACCCCUCUGUGCAUCGUGACGCGUCUCGCGGGACGCGGUCCUUUAUACUACCCUUUUGUAAUUGAGCGAACGCGAUAUAACGUAUUAAAUGUACAACUAUCAACAACGGAUCUCUUGGCAUCCCGCUCGAUGAAGAACGCACCGAAUUGCGAUAAGUAAUGUGAAUUGCAGAAUUCAGUGAAUCAUCGAAUCUUUGAACGCACCUUGCACCUUUUGGUAUUCCGAAAGGUACGCCCGGUUGAGUAUUAUGAACACCUCAAUCCAACGGUCUCUGAUUGCAAAGGUCCCAUGUUCGGCGAAGCCCUUCUGUGGAGGGGUGGUAGCUGAAGUCGGACUUGGAGGCCUGUUGGACUUGGACUUGAGCGACGACUGUCGGUCCGCUUGGAUCGACUCGCUCGAAAUGCAUUAGCUGGCGACCCGUCUUACGGUUCCACUCGACGUAGUAAGUUCUAUUUCGUUGAGGACGCCUCUCCGGAGGUGGCCGU